UACAGAGGGUGCAAGCGUUAAUCGGAAUUACUGGGCGUAAAGGGCGCGUAGGUGGUUAAUUAAGUUAGAUGUGAAAUCCCUGGGCUUAACCUAGGAAUUGCAUUUAAAACUGAUUAGCUAGAGUGUGGGAGAGGUAAGUGGAAUUUCCAGUGUAGCGGUGAAAUGCGUAGAUAUUGGAAGGAACACCAGUGGCGAAGGCGACGUACUGGACCACUACUGACACUGAGGCGCGAAAGCGUGGGGAGCGAACAGG
rnacentral:rRNA from 1 species